GGCUAGUUAGCUCAGUUGGUUAGAGCAUGGUGCUGAUAAUGCCAAGGUCCAGGGUUCAGAUCCCCAUACUGGCCA